GUGCCAGCAGCCGCGGUAAUACGUAGGGUGCAAGCGUUAUCCGGAAUUAUUGGGCGUAAAGAGCUCGUAGGCGGUUUGUCGCGUCUGCUGUGAAAACCCGAGGCUCAACCUCGGGCCUGCAGUGGGUACGGGCAGACUAGAGUGCGGUAGGGGAGAUUGGAAUUCCUGGUGUAGCGGUGGAAUGCGCAGAUAUCAGGAGGAACACCGAUGGCGAAGGCAGAUCUCUGGGCCGUAACUGACGCUGAGGAGCGAAAGCAUGGGGAGCGAACAGGAUUAGAUACCCUGGUAGUCC
rnacentral:rRNA from 1 species